rnacentral:rRNA from 1 species
UACAGAGGGGGCAAGCGUUAUUCGGAAUUAUUGGGCGUAAAGGGCGCGUAGGCGGCCUGACAAGUGGAAGGUGAAAUCCCUCGGCUUAACCGAGGAACUGCCCUCCAAACUGUUUGGCUUGAGACCGGGAGAGGUGAGUGGAAUUCCCAGUGUAGCGGUGAAAUGCGUAGAUAUUGGGAGGAACACCAGUGGCGAAGGCGGCUCACUGGACCGGUACUGACGCUGAGGCGCGAAAGCGUGGGGAGCAAACAGGG